GAUGAACGCUGGCGGCGUGCCUAAUACAUGCAAGUCGAGCGAACAGACGAGGAGCUUGCUCCUCUGACGUUAGCGGCGGACGGGUGAGUAACACGUGGAUAACCUACCUAUAAGACUGGGAUAACUUCGGGAAACCGGAGCUAAUACCGGAUAAUAUAUUGAACCGCAUGGUUCAAUAGUGAAAGACGGUCUUGCUGUCACUUAUAGAUGGAUCCGCGCUGCAUUAGCUAGUUGGUAAGGUAACGGCUUACCAAGGCAACGAUGCGUAGCCGACCUGAGAGGGUGAUCGGCCACACUGGAACUGAGACACGGUCCAGACUCCUACGGGAGGCAGCAGUAGGGAAUCUUCCGCAAUGGGCGAAAGCCUGACGGAGCAACGCCGCGUGAGUGAUGAAGGUCUUCGGAUCGUAAAACUCUGUUAUUAGGGAAGAACAAAUGUGUAAGUAACUAUGCACGUCUUGACGGUACCUAAUCAGAAAGCCACGGCUAACUACGUG
rnacentral:rRNA from 1 species